AGAUGCCACUGACCUUCCCACUGUGGGUGCAAGUGAAAGAUGGAGCUUCUUAACAAAUAAGGAAAACCCCUGCUUUAGGAAAAAAAUUAGGAAAAGGUAACAAAUAAAUCGUCUUGUGUCACAGUGUCACUGUGCUUCUCCUCAGCCAUAUUUCACUAAGUUUGGGUGUCAUAACAACCUUCUACACAAGGUUAAAUUUUGCAAUAAUGUUGUGUUAGGGAGAGAAAUUUCUCAUGUAUGGGAAGUGCUACAAACCUGACAGUUUUACUGCAAAGAAAUGUCACAUAGAUAUGUUAGCACUCUAAAAGAAAUGCUAGACUAGCUUCUACAUUAGAAUUAAGAGGUGUCAAUCAUUUAACACUGCAUAAAUGUCACCACAUUUGCUAAAUGUUAGCCUGAAGAAUGACAUGAAUUAUUUGUUUCAGGAUAUUGCAUAUUCUAGACCUCUACCUAUUGCUUGCAUGCAAACUUCCCAUUUUCUUCUUUUAAAUUAAACUUAAGUCAGGCGAGCCAUAAAUUAGAGUGUAAGUAUUUUCACUUGGCAUGACCCUAUGGUGCAACGCAAUGCAUAAACAAACAAAAACCAAGGUUACUAUGGUGGAGAGGGCAGAAGAUGAGCGUCUGUAGGAAAUGAAAAUCCACAGAACACACAAGUGGACUAGUCAUUCGGAAGCGGAUUAGAAUAUCUGUCGCCAACUAUAACACUGCCAGUGCCAGAAAAGGCUAAUUCCUGAGAGAGCUUCCAGCUCCCGGCCUAAUGGUGGAUAGUCUGCUUUGAAUUCCUGCAUGAAAGGAGAGAUUUGGCAAACGCAGCUUCUUUCCUCUCUGCUGUACAAUGAUGGGCGGAGGAGAAGCACUCUUCCAAAUGUCUCUCUGCAACACAGCCUUCAAAGCCACAGGAAAGCCUAUCCAUAGGAAUUCCUAAACAAGCACAGGUGUAUGACCAAGCAAAGCAAUUAUUAUCAGUGUGUAAUACAGGAGGGGGAAAAGAAGCAGACAUGAUGUCGAUUGUAUGAAAGCAAUGUGACUGGGGGAGAGGAGGGAAUCAGGACUGCAGGAGGUGGGAAGGAGGGGUUUAGCACUUUCCCUUAUCUCAUCAUCUCAGUGAAAAGCUUCCAUGGUGGCUUCUACAGUGGUACCUCGGGUUAAGGUACUUAAUGCGUUCUGGAGGUCCGUUCUUAAUCCUGAAACUGUUCUUAACCUGAAGCACCACUUUAGCUAAUGGGGCCUCUGCUGCCACCGUGCCACCGGAGCGCGAUUUCUGUUCUUAUCCUGAAGCAAAGUUCUUAACCUGAAGCACUAUUUCUAGGUUAGAGGCGUCUGUAACCUGAAGCGUAUGUAACCUGAAGCGUAUGUAACCCAAGGUACCACUGUACACUGAAAGUACGUAAUAGCAGCUCAGAGGACAGGGAUUUUCUUCAUAGAAUUUUAUCCAAUGCUAUUUUGAUUAAAUGUUUCCUAUUUCUUUUCUUCUUUUUACUGCUUUUAACAUUUUAAUUGUAGGCCACCAUGUGGUGGCUGGGUCUAGAAAGUGGGAUAAAAAUACAGAAGAUAAUAAUGAUUAAUACCUGUGGACUUUGGGAUUCAGACACCUGGAUCAAACCUGUGUGUAGGAUUCAGUUGGUGAGAAAGAGAGAGAAAACCAACUCAGGUUGUCCCUUACACUAGCUAUCAGUGCAGAACAGGAAAUUGUCUGUGAAGGCUACCUAGGAAGAGAUAGGGGAAAGCAGGGCAUUCAGAGGGCUGAGUGGCCUUAGAGUGGAAUUCCUGUCUGUGGUAUGGUACAACCUGGAUAUAAUACGACCAUUAAGAAUUGCAGGUAGCUAUGUAGGGAACUUACCUUUUCCUGCAAAAAGAAUGGCUAAUUUCCUGCAAAAAGAAUAGCUAACUUCAGAGUGUUAUCCCAGGAGGACACCUUGGCAGGUAAUUAUGCAUACCAGUUGUGGGCACUGCAGUAGGAAGGGUUAGAACUACCCUUUUGUAGUCUAAUAACUUGCAUUGUGUUAUGUUUCUUAAUAAGGUUGUGGCAUGUUUAACCCCAUUGGGGUGGGGAGCAGAAAGAAGCAAAUCGGCCAUUUGCUCCCCUUUCCAGAUCAUUAAUGAAGAUGUCAAAUAAAUAUGGAAAUAAUUGCAACUUUCUCCUCUGCAUGUCAUCCCAGAAGCAUAUCCAAUUGGAAAGAUAACCAAGGCUUCCUGUUUGGGCGUUUAAGCCUAAUAUAAAGCUGUCCUUCCUUCCAAUGUUGCUUGUGCAUGAUAUACAGAUUAAUGCUUAUCUCUUAAAUUCAUUCCUGAUAAUGUCUCCCUUCCCCAAGACCCUUGGUAGUGUGGCGGGUUUUGCAAUAAAAUGCUUUGAAUUUGACAAGGUGCUACCCAAAAUUGCACACAAUGUUUCAGGUAUGAUUACUCUGGGCUGAUGUUGGCUGAUGUUAUUACCAUCUUUUUUUCUACUAUCACAUUGAUAUUUCCAUCAAAAUGGCUCAGCCCUUUUCUGUGCUGCAUUAUGUUAUGCACUCCUGACUAAUUUGCUCUCCAUUACCAUCUCUAUGGCUGUUUAAGCUUUAUUGCUUUUCAGGUUUCACUCCCUCAUUCAAUAGAUCUGCUUUGGAUUAUAUUCCCCCCCUCUGAUACUAUUAUAUUGCUGUGUUCCAAAGUGAAUAUCAUUUUGUUGCUAAGGCCAUGUUUCCAAUAUCUUAGCUCCCUCUCUAUUAUUUCCAUGCCUUGGCUGUUUUUUUAUUUUGCAAUGCCUCCCAAUUCAGGAUAAUAUGUGAAUUACAUUAACCUGCUGUUUACUCCUUUCCAGAUCAUUAAUGAAGAUGUCAAAUAAAUAUGGAAGUAAUGCCAGUUGCUUUAGUUCCCACCAGGCACCUCCCACAACUUGAGACACAUCAGUGUAUCAUUAUCCUUUGUUAAUGGUCGUUCAGUCACGUUUCAGUUCACAUGACAGGUUUCCAAGCCUAUUUUGAUUAAUUUUGUAGAAAGGAUUUUCAUGACAGCAUUGAAUAGGCUGAAAUGUUUUGUGAAGGGCCAGAGAUGAGGUCAGUUACAGUUAUUUCUGUUCCCACAACUUUAAAGGUGUUUCCUGACAAUCCAAAGUUGUUGUUUUUUUUUUACUCUAGUACUCAUGAUUGGCAUUAUCAUGUGACUGUCAGUGUCCCACUGCCCUGGCACGACCCACUAUUGAUGCCUGCCAUGAUGCAUUUUUUUUAUUUUUAGUGUCAGGCAAUUCAGAGUCACCCUUUUAAUUUCCAACAAUUCCACAACACAGUUGUACAAAAUUUACCACUAUGGGUUUGCUUAAAUUCAUGGGUGCCAUGUUCUCCCCAUAAUUUCUGAAAUUAGUAAAUGUGAGGUUUGAAAUCAAACCAACUUCCUCAGGGGCUAGGCUUAGAGAGGUGUCACCCAGGAACAAGGACAAGCAUUGGAGAAACUCCUGUGGGCUGAGGUCCCUUCGCCUCCCCGCAAUGAAAUAUUUCAGGGGACUGGGACUGGGCCCGUCCCAAAGUUGAUGGGCAUUGCCCUUCAAAUUUUUGCAUGUGCCACAUCUUCUGAUGGAUUAUGUAGGCUGGGGCUUACCUGAGCCCCUGCAAUAUUUUAUUCAAGUUGUUACCCUUGAAGACAAGUGGUAGCAGAGUCAAUACCCGGACAAAAGGUGAGACAUUCAGCAACAGGCAACAAAGUGGGAGGCUACCAAGAUAAAAGGGGGACCUGAUGUCACCACAGGCCUUUUGCAAAAGGUAUUUGAAAUGAAAGUUAUAGACAGGUGGCUUGCUGGAAGCGAAAGGUAGGAGUUGUUUUUCUGCAAAGUCUGCUGGGAAGGAGGAGGAAAUAGGUAGAGCUCCAUGUUGGGGCUGAAGGUCAGAACCAUCUGGACAGGCUAGGACAGAGGCAGAAAGAUGGCAUACAGGAUGCCUUGGGCAUCCAAUGCUGCACUGCAAGGGGAACAACCCCUCUUGAGAUGUAAUGUUCUGAACAUCCAAGUGUUCAGACCGAGGUGUAAAUAUGUGUUAACAAACCAUAUUUCUUAAAGACAUGAUGAUCUCUGCUGUGUCUUGAUUCCCAAUUGAAACACAAACCUGAGUAAGUGCCUGAACCACCACCACCCUGGAAUUUUGCUACCAUCUGGCAGAGAUUGGGGGUUGCGUGCAACCUUCAUAAACGUAUGUUGAAAACUGAGCACACAAAACAAACCUGAACCCAAUGAAAAAUUAUUACAAGCCACAAGUGAUGGGAAGUUCUGCUUCUGCACAUAAGUCUAGGAAUGUUCAGUUCACAUUGAGUUCAUGAAACAUCAUACCCUGACCUGUUCUUAACACAUUGUUGACCACAUCUACGGAAUGCGAUUGUUAUGCUUUUUCAAGUCAUGCAAUAUCAAUCACUAGUAAUAGUUUAUUAAGACAUGCAUUAUCAAUCACUAGUAAUAGUUUAACAAGGAGGAUUUCAUACCUGUCUAACCAUGUGUUCUCUUUCCCAACUUUUAAUCUAUUGAUGAUUAAUGCUUAUAUACAACCCUUGCAUUGUAUUUGUGUUAACCAAUCAGCAACAAGCACAUAUGGGGCAAUGCUGUAAUAUUCAAUAAAAGGGACUCUCCGAGACAUGCUCGGUAGAUGCCUCCCAUAUGACACUUGUCAUUCGUCUGUCGCUUAUUUCAACCCAACACACAAGAAUGGCAUCUGAAAACAAAUUCCUUUUGAUUGUCCCCCUCCUACAUUAGUGUGCCUUGGAGAUGGCAGACAUCAGCACUCCGAAUGAGCACUUUCAAAGCUUCUACUUUCAAAGCUUUCUUCGUUUUGUGUGUGCUCCAGAAAUGAGAGACAGAGGUAAUGUGUCCUGUUUCAAAACAGGAAGUCUUGCCCUGCUCUGCCGCCCUGCCAUUGUGCUCCAUUGGUGGCGGCAGCAAAGUGGCACUGGCAUGUCCCAUGCUUACUGUGAAUAUUUUCAUUAUCUUCUCAAUGACAUGCUUAUAUUUCUUCCAGCACUUACCCCAUUCAGCAAUGGAUGGUAGGGCUGAAGGAAAUAGGCACUUAAUUGGUCCAAGGGUGGGAGGCACUUGCAACCCAGCGUGGCGGCUCCUCCCCCCUCCCCCGCGGAGCCACACCAUGUUUGUUUCAGCUGUUGGCCUCUUUGCCUGGUCACCACAAUGCUCUCUGGGUUCCCGCCAGAUCCAGGUUUGACUUUGCACCAAUCUGCUGUGGCUUGGGGGGUGGGGCCAGGGAUUGGACCUGGCUGCUGAAGUUUUCACUCUGGUCUGCUCCCAGGGCAAAGAAACAUAAAUGACAUUUCAUAGAAUUGUGCUAUAUACUAGAAGUGAAUUAUUGUUUUCAUAUUUCCUCCACCACCUAUUAUUUUCUUUUCAAAUUAAUAGGCAAUGUCACCUAACAAUUGUGCCAAAGAAUGUCAGGGUCUCUGAGGAACUGAUUUGUUUAUAAAUACCUGCCACAUUUGCCUUUCUUCAUUCUUCUACAUGCAUACAAAACUAAUGUAAUGACCCAGAGUAUGAUUUAUCCGAUUUACCUGUUUAUCUUCAUUGCUGUUGUUAGCCUUUGAGAUAGGAGCGGCACUUAUGGUGAAGAAGCAGAAAGAGUGAGAUUUCUAUUUGCAUUUGUGCUUCUGCUGCAAUACUGCCUCCGUGUUUAGUUAUUUUCUAUGAGUGUCAAAUAACUGUUCAAUUAAGUAGUGUGUGUAGAGUUACAGCCAGAGCUAAUUAGUCUCCGGAUGAGGAUGGACAAAUCAUUCUCUAUCAGUUUCACUUGCAUUCAACAAUAAAUUCAUUGAGUCUCAGCUCCAUAUUAAUCUGUGAUACAUAUUAAAGCUAAAUUCUGAUAUUUUACAAUACAUUUUUUGUCAAAGAAACAUUUCUAAAUGUAUUGUCUCUCAGUUUGACAUUUAUUUUUUUUUUGCAAUAACUUUUCUAGAAUAUUUGGAGAAAGCAAAACCAGUGGCUACAUUUCGAGCUACAAAUGUGUCUGGGGAGUGUAAAUCAACAUUUAUGGCAUUUGAAUUUCUAAAAUUCCUCAAGAAGGAAUUUGUUAAAGAUUGCUGUUGCCAACAUACGAGUCACAUAAAGCGAAGAAGCAGGGGCUAAGAAGAAAACUUUUCACAGUGGUGAAGGGGCUAGAGACAUCUGUAAAGGAUUCCUGUUUGCUGCUGUUACUUGAUACUGAACUUUGUAAGUAAACCUUUUUUGGUCUAUAUGGGAUCAGAAAUUUGUAUGUUUAUUCCCAGUAAAAAUUUGGAACCAGAUGUUUUGUCAGGCUCAACCCCUUUCAAGGUAUUAGUAGAGUGCUACGUCUUGCUUCAGCCCAUAAAAAAAUUUGAUAUUUUUAUUCUCUCAUAUCAUUUCCCCUUAAUUUUUCACCACACUUAAGUCCCAGAACUAUAUGGAAUGUGUGGCAUGUAGGAGUCAAGACAAAAGGAAUGAUGGUAAAUAGAGUUCUUACCCUUUAACUGCCAUGACUCAUUCAAGACAGCCAUGAUUUUCAGAGCUCCAUCCCAAGGAAGUCCCAUCAACCAGCCAGAUUUUAAUUAAACAACUUCUUUCCCCACUAUGUGUUAGUACUGUGUAUUGGGAAUGAGGUGAAGCGGGUUUAUUUGAGAGCAGAAUCUCAUAUUCUCAAGUUGAAUGGGUCAUUUACAAUGAGUUUUGAGAUUGAUCAGGGACACACAGACCCUAAGAUUCCAAGUAGCUCUUCUGUCACGGUUUUUUCCAAAAAGUUAAAGGCACAUCCAAGCUGACUGGUGCAACACCCAAGUUUGAGACAGGAAGGGGUGGAGAAAUAGAGGUGAUGGAUUCUUUUGUUUUGAUAGACAAGUACAGUAUAUCUCUGCUGUUUCUGGGAUGGCUCAUCAAUCUGGACAAGUCAAUGCUCUGUACAGGGUGAGCACCUGCCUGAGCCUACUAAACCAUCUGCUUAUCAGUCCUGACAUAGGCAAACUGGGCCUUACCAGGAAGACAUAGAAUAGUGGCUUGGCAAAUCAAAUGCAUUUUACCUUGCCUUUAACUGGAAGAGAAAAGUGAACAAAAUGAAAUGUCUGACUUCCAGCUGUAAAAAAAGUGUAGAAUACAGAUAAACUUCCAAAUGUAUAAACACAUUCUCUGAAAGUAGGAAUGAUUUUAUGAGAUGCAACCAUAAAACAUUAGACCUUCGGGGAUGUGUUUAUGAUGUGUUUAGUGAGGACUGACCAUAGAUCCCCCAUAAACAGCCUGUUAGAUGUAAAGAUGCAUUGCAUCUGUGUUUCAUGCUGUUGUUAAGUACAUAGUCAUUCAAGCCUUAAGGAUAUCAAAAGGCUCUUUUGUUUCCUCUCUAUCUCCCUGUAGCUUUAUUCUGCUGAAAUUCAGAGGCGAUGUUGAACCGCAGUGGAUGUAGAUGAAAAUGCCUUCCUUUAACAUAAGUAAUUAUCACCUAAUGGUGAUAUGGGAUGAAAAUUAUGAUGGAUAUGAUUAAAUUAUUGGAGCACUGCUAGAUCUUGCUCAGGAUCCUAAAUUGCAUUUCCAUCGGCAAUUCGGGCAUUGGCUGUGGCGGUAUGCCAUAAAACCAGCACAUUAUGUUCUGAAAACAGCACCAUAAAAGAGAUUCACUACUACUCUUAUUCUCACCAGUCACCAGAGUACAUUUGUGGCAUCGUUCCAAGAGGGUGCAAAACUUUUCUGCUUUCUUUCUAGUUGAUGGAGUCCUUACCCUCAAGUUCAACAUAUAUGAUAC